CUGCUGCCUUCCGUAGGAGUCUGGGCCGUGUCUCAGUCCCAAUGUGGCCGUUCAACCUCUCAGUCCGGCUACCGAUCGUCGGCUUGGUGGGCUAUUAUCUCACCAACUACCUAAUCGGGCGCGAGCCCAUCUUUCAGCGAUAAAUCUUUGAUUGGGUCAUGAUGCCAUAUCCCAAUGUUAUGCGGUAUUAGCGUUCGUUUCCAAACGUUAUUCCCCUCUGAAAGGCAGGUUGCUCACGUGUUACUCGCCCGUCCG
rnacentral:rRNA from 1 species